rnacentral:tRNA from 4 species
CGGAUGUAGCCAAGUGGAUCAAGGCAGUGGAUUUGUGAUCC